ensembl:lncRNA
GGUGAGGCAGAGGGCGGCAGUCACAGAUGGUCGCGUGGAUCAUUACGGCUCUGUGGCGUUCUUCCGAAGAGUGCAAAAGACAGAGGAACAGACAACCACUCUGUCUCGCCAAAGUUGUUAAAGAAGAAGAAAGAGAGAAGGACAUUUUUGAGGAGAAAAAGAGGAACAAGAGGAGAUAAGGAUAACUCUGCAUUGCAGCAUGGGAGUCAACAGAGAAAAGACAAUGAAAAAGUGCAGGGUAUCAUUAUGUCAGUCAGUAAUGUUCCACACCUCCACUGAGAGCUGAUUAUACAUCACCUGUGCCACACACACACACACGUUUACUGCAGGCCGCUGACAGUGUAAAGGUGUGUUCAGGGGGUUGGAGACCUUGAGAGAGCAAAGCUAAUUACUCUCAGUGGUAAUUAUAACAGAUACAGUCACAAUGACCUUCCGGUAUGAGGCCGCUUGUGUGUGUGUGCAUAUGCAGCGUGGCGUGGAUCUGUGAAGUGUUUCCUGUAUUCCUGGGAGUAUCUGAGAGAUGCUGACCUGUAGAUGUUACUCAGAGAACAGACAUGACAUGGGCUAAAGAGUACAUUUGUGCUUAUACAGGUGGUGAGGAGGGGUUUAGUGAGUAUCUCCUUGUAGAGACUCUUUUGUAGAGUUCUUUUUGGCUGUCGACUGUGUCUGCAUAAUAGUUAUAUUGGAAAAUGUGUGAUAAACAGGUCAUUGUUGAAUGAUUAUCUGAUUUCAUAUGUUAUUGCAUAUGUUUUGGGAACAUAUUUUUUAGAUGUUUCUUGGCUGUUUUUGUGUAACUCUUCUGAUGUGGCAGAUACUGUAG